AGUUUUUUGAUUUUUUAUAAAAAAUAUUUUCUGCUCAGUGUUUAUAAACAGCCGCGGUAAUUUGACUGUGCAAAGGUAGCAUAAUCAUUUGCUUCGUAAUUGGGGGCUAGUAUGAAUGGAAGUACAAGACAUUUUCUUUAUUUGGAAGAAGAUAAUAAUUUGCUUUUUUAGUGAAGAGGCUAAAAUAGAAUUAUGGGACAAGAAGACCCUUUUGAGCUUUAUUGUUUUAAAGGUAUAAUACUUUUAGGCAAUUUGGUUGGGGCGACCGAGGAAGUUUUUAUCUUCCUUUAAUAAAUAAUGAUCCAGGGAUUCUGAUUAUUAGAUUAAGUUACCAAAGGGAUAACAGCGUAAUUUUUUUUAAGAGUUCUUAUUAAAAAAAAAGAUUGCGACCUCGAUGUUGACUUAUAAUUUCCUUGUGGUGUAGCAGCUAAUAGGGUUGGUCUGUUCGACCUUUAAAAUUUU
rnacentral:rRNA from 1 species